rnacentral:rRNA from 1 species
UGAUGGGCGACUGCGGGAGGUAUUAAAGAAAUUUAAUUGAUUUGUUGAGUGGAGAGAGAAUGUGUGGGGAGGACAGUGUAGAAUAGGAGGUCUAAAAUAUUUUUGUGGUGUGAAUGGUAUUAUCUGGUGGGGUUAAGUGGGGGGUUGGUGGGUGUUGUGAGUGGGGGGAGGGAGCCGACAAGACCUGGGAGUGUGGGUGGAUCUCUCUAUUGCAAAGGAGGUGUUUUAUGACGGACUCGACACUUUUAAUUACUACACAAGUGGAGUUUACUUUACUACUAUUCUUUUGUUGCGUUGGGGGAACGCUGCUCUUUGCGGGGGGGGAGUUGCUGCGAGUGGAUGCAAACAGAAACAAAUAUUUUUUUAAAAUAAUUGAGUGAACGCAAGAUUUGUUUUAGUAGAAAAGAAGUUGAAAACUUUCAACAAUGGAUCUGUUGGUUGGGGGAGGGAUGAAGAAGGCAGCGAAAUGGGAUAGGUAAUGUGAAUUGGAGAAUUGCGUGAAUCAGCGAAGCUUUGAACGCAGAUUGCGGCCUCUGGUAUUGGCGGGGGGGAUGGCUGUUUGAGCGUGAUUUGGCUUGCUGCAAACACGUUGUGUUUGGUAGUGAGUGAUACUGCUGCGUUUUUGAGUUAAGCUUGAAAUUGUAGGGCAUAUGCAGUAUGUGGGACACGAGCGCAAGCUUGCUGCUAUUAAUGCUGGUGCGCGUUUGCGCGAGGGGGCGGGGGUUAAUAGCUGUAUUAGUUUUAGCAACUCGGUGUUGAUGCUAGGGAGGGAUAAGUGAGUGUUUUGUGCGUGUGGAGACGACGUCUUUAAGUUUGAGCUGCAAUGCAGUAGGUUAGCGCGCUGAACUAAGCUAUGCAUAAGGGGAAGGAA